AUGAGGGGCCCUGUGCAGCUCCUCAGCUUCCUGCUGCUCUGGCUCCCGGGUGCCAGGUGUGAUAUCCAGAUGAGCCAGCCUCCAUUCGUGUCUGCAUCUUUGGGAGACAAAGUCACCAUCACCUGCAAGGCCAGUCAGAAUGUUGGCAAGUAUUUAGCCUGGUAUCAGCAGAAACCAGGGAAAGCUACCAGGCUCCUCUACAAUGGUAACACCGGUUUAGGACCAGGUGUCCCUUCCUGGUUCAGUGGCAGUGGAUCUGGGACAGAUUUUACUCUCACCAUCAGCAGCCUGGAGCUUGAAGAUGUUGCCACUUAUUACUGUCAUCAGCAUGGUAAUGUACCUCACACAUGGGGUCCUGGGAAGCAGAAUGUAGAGUAG